GGAGUUGUGACUCAGUGGUAGAGCGCUUGCCUGGUAUGCAUGAGGCCCUGGGUUCGAUUCUCAGCACUACA
rnacentral:tRNA from 1 species